GGUUUGAGUUCAGACCUUGGUCUGAAAUUACAUUUCACAAAGCAAGGUUUGUCCUCAGACCAGGUUUAUGUACGUCAUCAGACCCGAAAUUUACAGACUGCUCAGAUAGGAGGUUUGUAAUUUCUCAAACCUGGUUUGAGAGCUAUCAACCAAUCAGGAUGCAGCACUGGGUGGAGAUAAUUUAUGCUCGAUUGAUUUUAUCCAAAUAAUUCACCGCCAAAACAAUCUGCGAUAGUAUCUGGUCAGCCCGAUUUUAGUGCAAUUGAAAUCUCUCAAUCUCUCGAUCCUUUCCUUAAAAUCUAAAGAUGGUAGAAAUGCAGCUGAUUCAGCAUAAUGAGCUGGUGUACCUGGAGGAGGAGCUGGAGCAAUAUAUAGCAGCACAACCGGGCAGAGGCCUCUGAGUCUGAGAUUGGGAAAACCCGCUUGAUGAUGAGCCUUUUGUUUUAGAUUGAGGUAAUUCGAUCUAAAGGAUGCACCGUGAGGAGGCGGCAUGCCGUGUCAUAUUCAUCUGUUUGCCGAAUGGAGAGUAGUGAGGGAUGUUUCCGAAGCUGUUGUCAGAAGAAAGGGACAAGUCAUGAAGUUUCCUACAAGUUACAACAAGGCAAAUAGUGACUACUAUUCAGAAGCAGUUUUUCCAGUACUGCAGAUUUCCAGGAGUUGCUGUUGAUGGGACACAUGUUUACAUCAGGAGCCCUGGUGGGGCAAGAGCCAGGUACUACUUCAAUAGGAAGAACAGGUACUCCAUCGAUGUUCAGGUUGUCUGUGAUUAUGCUGGGAAAAUAACUAGUAUCGUUGCAAGGUGGCCUGGACUGGUAGCAGCCACGAUGCCAGGAUCUUUUCUGAGUGUGCACUGAAUUGGCAGCUUGAUGCUAGGGCAUAUGAAUAACAGUUGAUUCUUGGAGAUAGACUAUAGGGUAUCCAUGCCUUCUCUGCCUCAUCAGAAGCCAUUUCUUCAUUCAGAGGGUCGACCACAGAUGUGCUUUAAAGGCCAUCUGUACUGGUUCAGCCAAAGAGGAUUAGACAACCCAGCAAGGUCACUGACGGGAGGCUAUCUCAUCAAUUCAGUUCUCAAUUAAAAUAAGAAAAAGAGGAUCAUGGGGGAUUAACAGGCACAGAUUGGGGAAGUUUUCUAUAAAGAGGGAGCAAGUAGCUAGAAGUAGUACAGUGGGGCUUUAACACUUCACACACAAAAAAGGGAGAUGUGUGAUUGAGCGCAUAUUUAUUAAAUGCAAGGAUGAGGACGUUCCAUGCCUCAUCAAUACUAAGAGUAUUUCAAAAUACGGCCCCUCCCUGGUGUUCCCACAAUACUUCGUAGUUAUGCAGCAUUACAUCAAGAACCUGUGUGUUGAACCGUUGAUUAUUUAUGAAUAUUUUUGAAGUUAUGUUUAGUUGAUAAGUAUUUGUUGUCACUCUGACGGUAUUUGUAAUUAAGUGUUCUCUGUAGAUUAAAUGCACCCGAUUUAACUAUAAUUAGCAUUGUACUGCUGAGUUGAGGGGUGGGUCAAUAUAAAUUAUUUGGUUGGCAGCUAGGGGAGAGUAUUCGAACAAAUAUUAUUUACUGUACUAAGCGAAGUCAGAAUUAAAGAACUUUUAUGUGCAAAUUUGAA